ACGAACGCUGGCGGCGUGCUUAACACAUGCCCGUCGAACGGAAAGGCCCUUCGGGGUACUCGAGUGGCGAACGGGUGAGUAACACGUGGGUGAUCUGCCCUGCACUUUGGGAUAAGCCUGGGAAACUGGGUCUAAUACCGAAUAGGACCACGCGCUUCAUGGUGUGUGGUGGAAAGCUUUUGCGGUGUGGGAUGGGCCCGCGGCCUAUCAGCUUGUUGGUGGGGUAAUGGCCUACCAAGGCGACGACGGGUAGCCGGCCUGAGAGGGUGACCGGCCACACUGGGACUGAGAUACGGCCCAGACUCCUACGGGAGGCAGCAGUGGGGAAUAUUGCACAAUGGGCGCAAGCCUGAUGCAGCGACGCCGCGUGAGGGAUGACGGCCUUCGGGUUGUAAACCUCUUUCAAUAGGGACGAAGCGCAAGUGACGGUACCUAUAGAAGAAGCACCGGCCAACUACGUG
rnacentral:rRNA from 1 species